rnacentral:rRNA from 1 species
AGAGUUUGAUCAUGGCUCAGGAUAAACGCUGGCGGCGUGCCUAAUGCAUGCAAGUCGCACGGGGAGCACUUUCGGGUGCUUCGAGUGGCGAACGGGUGAGGAACACGUGGCCGACCUACCCCGGCGUGGGGGAUACCCGCCAGAAAUGGCGGCUAAUACCGCGUACGGUCGCACUUCUGUGGGAGGUGCGAAGAAAGCCGUAAGGCGCGCUGGGAGGGGGCUGCGGCCGAUUAGCUAGUUGGCGGGGUAACGGCCCACCAAGGCGAUGAUCGGUAGCGGGUCUGAGAGGAUGAUCCGCCACACGGGGACUGAGACACGGCCCCGACUCCUACGGGAGGCAGCAGCAAGGGAUUUUCCGCAAUGGGGGCAACCCUGACGGAGCAACGCCGCGUGCGGGACGACGCCUCUUGGGGUGUAAACCGCUUUUGCCGAGGACGAGAACGGACGGUGCUCGGCGAAUAAGGACCGGCUAACUACGUGCCAGCAGCCGCGGUAAUACGUAGGGUCCGAGCGUUGUCCGGAGUGACUGGGCGUAAAGCGCGCGCAGGCGGCCCCUCAGGCACGACGUGAAAGCCCCGGGCUCAACCCGGGAGGGUCGUCGUGAACCGUGGGGCUUGAGGCCGGUAGAGGUGGGUGGAACUCCUGGUGGAGUGGUGAAAUGCGUAGAGAUCAGGAGGAACACCCGUGGCGAAGGCGGCCCACUGGGCCGGUACUGACGCUGAGGCGCGAAGGCGUGGGGAGCGAACGGGAUUAGAUACCCUAGUAGUCC